UUGUGCAAAGGUAGCAUAAUCAUUAGUCUCUUAAUUAGUGACUUGUAUGAAGGAUUGGAUGAAAUAUAGACUGUCUUAAGAAUAAUUAGUUGAAGUUAAUUUUUUAAUUAAAAAGUUAAAAUAGAUUAAAAAGACGAGAAGACCCUAUAGAGUUUAAUAUUAAAUAUAGUUUAAAUUAUUUAUAAAAUUAUUAACUAAAAAUUUUAUUUAAUAUUUUAUUGGGGUGAUAAAAAAAUAAAAUGAACUUUUUUUGAAAAUAACCAUAAAUAAGUGAUAUAAUGAUCCAAUUUUAUUGAUUAAAAGAAAAAAUUACCUUAGGGAUAACAGCGUAAUUUUUUUUUUUAGUUCUUAUAAGAAAAAAAGUUUGCGACCUCGAUGUUGGAUCAGGACA
rnacentral:rRNA from 1 species